rnacentral:rRNA from 1 species
GUCAACUUCCAUGAUUUCUUCAUGAGGACUCUGGCGAAUAUUGCUAUGUCACCAUUUGAGCUGAAGCCUUAUGCAUCAUGGAUUAUGAGAUUCAUCAGGACAAGGGCUUCACUAAAUUACAAAGCUGACACUUUGAACCAUGGCAGCUACUUGCCUCCGAUUGAAGUCCUCAAACGGACAUAUUCCUCAGCUGAUGACAAAGACAAGGCAACUGUUGUGAUAGAUGAAGGCAUUCGUCCAUUGGAUGGUCAAUUUCGCAAGGCUGCAUCCUACUCCACCAAUGAUGACUCUGCCACACAUGAUUCUGCCGCCAAGCAAAAUCCUCAAGCCACAGCACCCAGGGUGAUGACUGAUCGUGAGUUACUCCUCAGUCUUCAUCAGAAGGUUGAUCGCAAUCACAAAUGGGUCAAGCGUCAGUUUGGUUCAAUUCUUCACAACAUGACAUCAACACACAAUGCAAUGAAGAAAAACCAAUACUACCUCCAUGAAACCUUCAACCGUACCUGGGCUGUUCUAUCACAUGUCUACAACGCUGCAGAUCUGAAGAAUAUGGGUCUCAAGGAAGAAUUUGACUGGUCUGCACCU